CACGUAGGGAGCAAGCGUUGUCCGGAAUCAUUGGGCGUAAAGCGCGCGUAGGCGGCCCCGUAAGUCCGCUGUGAAAGUCAAAGGCUCAACCUUUGAAAGCCGGUGGAUACUGUGGGGCUAGAGUCCGGAAGAGGCGAGUGGAAUUCCUGGUGUAGCGGUGGAAUGCGCAGAUAUCAGGAGGAACACCAAUAGCGAAGGCAGCUCGCUGGGACGGUACUGACGCUAAGGCGCGAAAGCGUGGGAGCGAACAGG
rnacentral:rRNA from 1 species